GCAUAUCAAUAAGCGGAGGAAAAGAAACCAACAGGGAUUGCCUCAGUAACGGCGAGUGAAGCGGCAAGAGCUCAAAUUUGAAAGCUGGCCCCUUCGGGGUCCGCGUUGUAAUUUGCAGAGGAUGCUUCGGGUGCAGCCCCCGUCUAAGUGCCCUGGAACGGGCCGUCAUAGAGGGUGAGAAUCCCGUCUGGGACGGGGUGUCUGCGUCCGUGUGAAGCUCCUUCGACGAGUCGAGUUGUUUGGGAAUGCAGCUCUAAAUGGGUGGUAAAUUUCAUCUAAAGCUAAAUACUGGCCGGAGACCGAUAGCGCACAAGUAGAGUGAUCGAAAGAUGAAAAGCACUUUGAAAAGAGAGUUAAACAGCACGUGAAAUUGUUGAAAGGGAAGCGUUUGCGACCAGACUCGCCCGCGGGGUUCAGCCGGCAUUCGUGCCGGUGUACUUCCCCGUGGGCGGGCCAGCGUCGGUUUGGGCGGCCGGUCAAAGGCCCUCGGAAUGUAUCACCUCUCGGGGUGUCUUAUAGCCGAGGGUGCAAUGCGGCCUGCCUGGACCGAGGAACGCGCUUCGGCUCGGACGCUGGCGUAAUGGUCGUAAAUGACCCGUCUUGAAACACGGACCAAGGAGUCUAACAUCUACGCGAGUGUUCGGGUGUCAAACCCGUACGCGCAGUGAAAGCGAACGGAGGUGGGAGCCCCCUCGCGGGGCGCACCAUCGACCGAUCCUGAUGUCUUCGGAUGGAUUUGAGUACGAGCGUAGCUGUGGGGACCCGAAAGAUGGUGAACUAUGCCUGAAUAGGGCGAAGCCAGAGGAAACUCUGGUGGAGGCUCGCAGCGGUUCUGACGUGCAAAUCGAUCGUCAAAUUUGGGUAUAGGGGCGAAAGACUAAUCGAACCAUCUAGUAGCUGGUUCCUGCCGA
rnacentral:rRNA from 1 species